AUUCGUCGAGGUAUUCGCCGGGGCGCUCUUCUAUCCGACGGUACUCAACUAUGGCCGCAGCUUGAUCGAGCCCGAGUUCCACUGGUGGGAUCGCAUCGACAAGGAUAUUUGGAUAGGGGCAGUUCCUCACCAACCAAUGUCAUAAUUGAUCACGUCCGCAAAUGAUUUUUGGACUGUAGUUUGGAUUGUUCUGCCGAGCGUAUAACAACGCAUGCUAUCUAUCAAAGCUUCGACUCAUUUGUUUUGCUGCUCGGGAAUAUUGAGACGAGAAGAAUGGCCUUGAUGCUGGAGGUUAAUGGAUCACCCUGGGAACGAUUUUGAGGGCAUUAUGCCAGCUACUUUGAUGGCAAUGGAUUAUGGAAUGGCAAACUAACAGGGCACAUCGCACAACUGCUAUAAAUGUGUUGAUAUGUUGCAUUUCAAGGCAGUUUCACUCAUAAAUACUACAAAGGUUUACAAAAUGUUCACACAGUAUUUGGUUCAUAUCACCAUUGUUUCAUGUUCGAUUGACUGGUGCGGUUCUCUUACAUAGUUUGAACCAUUUAGCAUUUGGGACCAUGAGGAUUCCGAUUGGGAGAACGACGUCGUCCAUAGAUUAAUGUAUGGGAACACCGGGCCAACCCACUUUACAGGACAGGAGGGUUGAUCGCUGGGUGAUGCGCUGCACGAGUAGGCCAGGAGGAACAAGAGUAGAGGAGGACUGUAGCCUGUAGGUGAGAGAAGAUGAUGCCAUUGCCAUCUUGACUGAAGGUUGGGCAUCUAAAGAUGCUUGGCAACCAGAACUCUGAAGCUAAACACCACUUGAAGGUACCUGGAAAUACAUUACUUGCUGAAGUUGCACAUCCUACGCCCCAGGAGGAGGCCAAAUGCAUAUUCCGAUCAUGUGAUCUACAUACUAAAGCUUCCUUGCUGGAUCUAAGGUUUAAUUUCUCUGCCCCAAUGCUGGUUCUUAGGGUAAUACAAGUUCUACUCCAUAUUUUUUAUGCCCUCCACACAACUGUAUGUUCAUGU